ACGAUGAUCCGGUGCUUGCGCCGGGGAUUAGUGGCGAACGGGUGAGUAACACGUGAGUAACCUGCCCUUGACUCUGGGAUAAGCCUGGGAAACUGGGUCUAAUACCGGAUAUGACUCCUCAUCGCAUGGUGGGGGGUGGAAAGCUUUUUGUGGUUUUGGAUGGACUCGCGGCCUAUCAGCUUGUUGGUGGGGUAAUGGCCUACCAAGGCGACGACGGGUAGCCGGCCUGAGAGGGUGACCGGCCACACUGGGACUGAGACACGGCCCAGACUCCUACGGGAGGCAGCAGUGGGGAAUAUUGCACAAUGGGCGAAAGCCUGAUGCAGCGACGCCGCGUGAGGGAUGACGGCCUUCGGGUUGUAAACCUCUUUCAGUAGGGAAGAAGCCCUCUUUGGGGGUGACGGUACUUGCAGAAGAAGCGCCGGCUAACUACGUGCCAGCAGCCGCGGUAAUACGUAGGGCGCAAGCGUUAUCCGGAAUUAUUGGGCGUAAAGAGCUCGUAGGCGGUUUGUCGCGUCUGCUGUGAAAGACCGGGGCUCAACUCCGGUUCUGCAGUGGGUACGGGCAGACUAGAGUGCAGUAGGGGAGACUGGAAUUCCUGGUGUAGCGGUGAAAUGCGCAGAUAUCAGGAGGAACACCGAUGGCGAAGGCAGGUCUCUGGGCUGUAACUGACGCUGAGGAGCGAAAGCAUGGGGAGCGAACAGGAUUAGAUACCCUGGUAGUCCAUGCCGUAAACGUUGGGGACUAGGUGUGGGGGACAUUCCACGUUUUCCGCGCCGUAGCUAACGCAUUAAGUGCCC
rnacentral:rRNA from 1 species